rnacentral:rRNA from 1 species
CGCAUCUGUGCAUGCAGCAUAUCAAUAAGCGGAGGAAAAGAAACUAACAAGGAUUCCCUUAGUAACGGCGAGUGAAGCGGGAAGAGCUCAAAUUUGAAAUCUUCAAGGUUUUACCUUGACGAAUUGUAGUUUAGAGAAGUGUUUUCUGUUGAAGUUUUGGUAAAAGUUCUUUGGAAUAGGACAUCAUAGAGGGUGAGAAUCCCGUAUUUGACCAUUAUUUUCAGCUGUGUGAUACACUUUCAAAGAGUCGGAUUGUUUGGGAAUGCAGUCCAAAAUGGGUGGUAAAUUUCAUCUAAAGCUAAAUAUUGGCGAGAGACCGAUAGCGAACAAGUACCGUGAGGGAAAGAUGAAAAGAACUUUGAAAAGAGAGUUAAACAGUACGUGAAAUUGUCAAAAGGGAAGCGUUUGACACCAGUGUUGUUUUCUCGAAAAUCAAUUAAAAAGAGUUAGAUUUUGUUGUGUAUUGACCUUAACAGCUUGCAUUUCAAUUUUCUUGCUUUUUUUAAUGCACUUUUCGUUUAACAAGUCAACAUCAGUUUCUUUUGUUGUAAAAAGGUCAUUGGAAGGUGGCUUUCUUUUCGGAGAAAGUGUUUAUAGCCUUUGACUCCUGCAAUCGGAGAGACUGAGGUCUGCAGCGUAGAUCCCUUCGGGGUUAGAUACAUUUGUGCUAAGUUAUAGCUUUUUAUAGACAACUUGUUGACUAUGAUUAGUCUUGUAGCUUACUCGCUUAUGCUAUUUUACCUACGCUUAGGAUGUUGAUGUGAUACUGCGAGCA